UGAAAGGUUUUUCUAAAAACCACCGAGGGAAAAAAAAUAAAAUUC
rfam:Charadrius vociferus contig51570, whole genome shotgun sequence.